rnacentral:rRNA from 1 species
UAGUCCACGCCGUAAACGAUGUCUACUUGGAGGUUGGUGCCUUGAGCACUGGCUUUCGGAGCUAACGCGUUAAGUAGACCGCCUGGGGAGUACGGUCGCAAGAUUAAAACUCAAAUGAAUUGACGGGGGCCCGCACAAGCGGUGGAGCAUGUGGUUUAAUUCGAUGCAACGCGAAGAACCUUACCUACUCUUGACAUCCAGAGAAUCCUUUAGAGAUAGAGGAGUGCCUUCGGGAGCUCUGAGACAGGUGCUGCAUGGCUGUCGUCAGCUCGUGUUGUGAAAUGUUGGGUUAAGUCCCGCAACGAGCGCAACCCUUAUCCUUGUUUGCCAGCACUUCGGGUGGGAACUCCAGGGAGACUGCCGGUGAUAAACCGGAGGAAGGUGGGGACGACGUCAAGUCAUCAUGGCCCUUACGCUCUGGGCUACACACGUGCUACAAGGGCCUGACAAAGAGUUGCUACUUUGUGAAAACAAGCUAAUCUCAUAAACGCGGCCUUAGUUCGGAUUGCAGG